GCUGACGUCACGAUCGGCGCCUCCGCCAUCUUAGUUGUGGCUAAGGAGGUGGCGGUUUCGGAAGUGCGGCUUGUGUGCUGCUGUGUCGAUGCUGAGACGAUGUGGGCUUGGCGUGGUGCUGAGCCUGGUCGCGGCGGCAGCGGCGGUCGUGGCCAUGUGGUUGAUGGACUGGUGGGGUCCCCGCCCUGGCCUUCGCCUCUUCGUACCCGAGGAGCUGGCCCGCUAUCGCGGCGGCCCGGGGGACCCGGGUCUGUACUUGGCGUUGCUCGGCCGCGUCUACGACGUGUCCUCUGGCCGGAGGCACUACGAGCCUGGGGCGCACUAUAGCGGCUUCGCAGGCCGGGAUGCAUCUAGAGCAUUUGUGACAGGAGACUUUUCUGAAGCUGGACUCGUGGAUGAUGUAACUGGCUUGUCCUCCUCUGAGAUACUGAUACUUCAAAAUUGGAUUUCAUUCUACGAGAAGAAUUAUGUAUUUGUCGGGAGACUGGUUGGAAGGUUCUACGGAGAGGAUGGGCUGCCCACUCCAGAACUAACCCAGGUGGAGGCCAUGGCGGCCAAAGGCGCGGAGGCGAGUGAACAGCAACAGAGGGAAAAGGGCAGGUUCCCUCCCUGCAAUGCCGAGUGGAGCUCUGCUAAGGGGAGCCGGGUCUGGUGCUCCCGGAAGAGUCAUUCGGGAACACAGCCUGAUCAACAUAGAACUGCCUGGAGAAAGUCUGUGAGCUCCAGCAAGGCACUUCCCACGGACUCACUGCUGCCCUGAUUAGAGCUUGGGCUCUGCCAUCAUGCCAGUCCUGCUGAGACUUGGAGCAGUAGCAGAACAAGACUGUGGCUCUCAGCAGAGAAGCAGGCAUUUCCCAAGAAGCCUCGAAUCUUGCAGAAUCAAGAGUUGAACAGCUUUAUGGACCAGAUUUUAAUCUGCAGGCCCCUAGACCUUCCUUGACAUUCUCUGAAGCCCACAGUGCCAGCCCCCAUCCCUUUUCUUCAUAUUGGCCAGUGACUCCAAAGAAACAAUGCUGCUAAGCGCCAUGGUCCCAGAUGAUGCUGUCAUUCCCACACUGAGCACCACCAGAGUGGUUGGAAGCCAAAGUGAUCUAUCCAAACAUGUGCCUGCAGUUUUAAAGGCCCAGCUGCUGCCUUGUCCUUGGUCCUACAAGGAUGUCACAGAACACCCAGCUCCACACGGCUCCCAAACAGGCAAGUCAGUAAGUCCAGCCAUCCCCAGAUUCCCUUGCUAUAGAAAACCAGUGCUGUCAGUUGUAACAGUUAAUAUAUUUAUGCCACACGAAAGAGGAACUGUAUAGGCAGUGAUCCUCCAGAGAAAGGUUUUAAGGCAUCUUUGACCUUGGGAAUUUAACUAUUUAGUUAACCAGUCACACACUCAGGUUUUCAUUAGAUCAGUUCUGUAGUGAGCAUGGCUCAGAGGCCUUUGCUGAGCUGCUUCCUCUGUUGGGCUGGCAAGGGAACUCUUUGGCUUCAGGUGGCUCUAGGGGGCUGGACCUGAAGGAAGCCAGUGUUUGUGAGGGAGGCAUACAUGUACUUGUACAUGAUGCUAUUGCUGCCUCUCAGGCCGAAGUAUUUGGCAGUUCAGCCAAGUUCUUUUCUCCAGGUAAGGAAAUCCUAGAUGGAGGCUUUGCCCUCCACCCCUUGUCUGCGAACAAGCCUAGGGCUGGAACAGUUGAGUAUGGGGGGCAGGCACAACUUGGGAAGGGCAGUGAGACCACACACCCAGUUCCUUGAAAGACCCAUUCAAGGAAAAGGAGGAAGCUGACAGAAACAACUCAGGGCUCUGAGGUAGAGGAUAAAAACAUCAUGUGGACCCCACUCCUUGGAGAGAAUAUGGCAGGUGAACUGAGCAGUCUAAUAUUCAGCCUUGACUGAAUUGGUUUUGGGGUGGAAUAGGCCCAGAACUAGUGUUGUAACACAUCACUGAGUGAGACACCAGUGAAAGACAACUGGAAACAAGGGAGUCCUCAGUGUAGGCACUUAAGCUGGUGGGACAUCGCUGUUAGAGGAUCAUAGCAAACUAGUUUCAGCACAUGGUUUGUACCUGUCUUUAAAAAAACAAAAAGCCCUAAUGAUGCAGUACACAGUAAGACUAGAGAUGCAUAAGAGCAGUUAAACAGCUAGGCAAGCACAGCAGUGCUAACUGAUGCAGCAGUUGUGUUUCAGUGACGUUGAUUCUUCCUGCUCUGCUCAUUCACAACUGGCAACCUUUUGAAUUAAUAAAAUGAAGUUUUGCUGCAAGCUGUCAAGGUACUGAUUAAGACUGAACAAGAACAGCUAAGCAGUUUCAUGGUGAAGUCUGGUCAGCACAGAGAGCACAGGAGAGACACAGGAAGUCUGGUCCUGGCCAGGGCAGUGCACAGCAGAAGUGUAGGGCAGGGAGCAUGGAUGGCAUGGUCAGGCUGUGCAAGGAUGCCUGAGCCAUGUCUACAGCAUGGGUACCAAAGUCACACAGCCUCUUUCCGCCAUAGCUGGUCACUAUGUUGACCUCUGAAGGAAUAGAAGCUUGAACCCACAUAUUUUGGGGCAUGAUCUUCAGGUUUUAAGUACAGUUAUAGGCAAAACUGUUACUGAAACUGGUAUUGUAGGGCUAGGAAAAAAUGGUCGGCUUCAUCCUGAUUUCCUAUUUUCCCCUCUCCACUGUGAUCAUAAAAAAACAAGUUUAUGUGUACCAACCACCUUGGUUCAUAGCAGAACCAUAAUUACCUUCCUCAUUAAAAAAAAA